AGUCUGCAACUCGACUACAUGAAGCUGGAAUCGCUAGUAAUCGCGAAUCAGCAUGUCGCGGUGAAUACGUUCCCGGGUCUUGUACACACCGCCCGUCACACCAUGGGAGUUGGUAACGCCCGAAGCCAGUGACCCAACCGGAAACGGAGGGAGCUGUCGAAGGUGGGACCGAUAACUGGGGUGAAGUCGUAACAAGGUAGC
rnacentral:rRNA from 1 species